AUUGAACGCUGGCGGCAUGCCUUACACAUGCAAGUCGAACGGUAACGCGGGGCAACCUGGCGACGAGUGGCGAACGGGUGAGUAAUGCAUCGGAACGUGCCCAGUAGUGGGGGAUAGCCCGGCGAAAGCCGGAUUAAUACCGCAUACGACCUACGGGUGAAAGGGGGGGAUCGCAAGACCUCUCGCUAUUGGAGCGGCCGAUGUCAGAUUAGCUAGGUGGUGGGGUAAGGGCCUACCAAGGCGACGAUCUGUAGCUGGUCUGAGAGGACGACCAGCCACACUGGGACUGAGACACGGCCCAGACUCCUACGGGAGGCAGCAGUGGGGAAUUUUGGACAAUGGGCGAAAGCCUGAUCCAGCCAUGCCGCGUGCGGGAAGAAGGCCUUCGGGUUGUAAACCGCUUUUGUCAGGGAAGAAAUCUUCUGAGUUAAUACAGGGGGCUAAUGACGGUACCGUAAGAAUAAGCACCGGCUAACUACGUGCCAGCCGCCGCAGUAA
rnacentral:rRNA from 1 species